CAAAAUUAUGCACAUGGGGCUAUUUGACAUCAGCUACAUAAAACGUCACUUGGAAAGCAAUAUCAUGAGCUUUUUUGGAUCUACUUGUGUCCAAAAUUUUGUUUCUGCAACUGAUUUCCAGUUAAAAUUUGGCUUUCCACUUGAGCAAAACUGGUCAAUUACCAAUCAAGACUGAAGACAGUGACCACCUUAUUUUCAUAUAAUUAUAAUAGGCUAUCAAAGUUCUAGCAUAAUUAUAACAGAGAAAUUUGCAAGCUAAGAAUAUAGUGUACAU
rnacentral:misc_RNA from 1 species